UUUUGGACAAUGGGCGCAAGCCUGAUCCAGCAAUGCCGCGUGCAGGAAGAAGGCCUUCGGGUUGUAAACUGCUUUUGUACGGAACGAAACGGUCCUGGUUAAUACCUGGGGCUAAUGACGGUACCGUAAGAAUAAGCACCGGCUAACUACGUGCCAGCAGCCGCGGUAAUACGUAGGGUGCAAGCGUUAAUCGGAAUUACUGGGCGUAAAGCGUGCGCAGGCGGUUUUGUAAGACAGGCGUGAAAUCCCCGGGCUUAACCUGGGAAUGGCGCUUGUGACUGCAAAGCUGGAGUGCGGCAGAGGGGGAUGGAAUUCCGCGUGUAGCAGUGAAAUGCGUAGAUAUGCGGAGGAACACCGAUGGCGAAGGCAAUCCCCUGGGCCUGCACUGACGCUCAUGCACGAAA
rnacentral:rRNA from 1 species